rnacentral:lncRNA from 1 species
UUUCAUCUUUUUUAUGGCCAUCCUCUUCCAAGUUCCAAUCUUUUGUGUACUCUGAUUUCAACUUAAGCUUUUUUGCAUUGAUACCCACAAGUAGAGAGAGAAAACUACACGUAAAAAUGGCGACUUUGAAUGUUUUCUCUCAGACAUGCCAACCUUGUUGUACAAUAAUUUCACCUUUCGUGCCUUGUUGUAACACUAACAACUAUGGCUAUUAUGCCCAUAAUAAUAGUAAUAAUAAUUCUAACAAUUGUAAAUUUCAGUUGACUACCCACUUCUCAAAAUCAGGUACUUUUUCUUCACUUUAUUGUCUCUUUGUCUUCUUUUUUAAUUCCGGUGUGUAUAUGUGUUUAUAUAUAUAUAUAGUAGCUACUAACAACAAGUGUUGGUCUAGUAGUGUAAGACAGCUAAAUCCCAGAACGACCAAAAUGUAGGGUUUGAUUCCUGGGAGUGAGCCGAAUCAACUCGAUAUUCGUUCGAAACUCGAUUGGUUAUUUAGAUCGAGAAACUUGGUUCAUGAACCAAAUGAGUUGAUUUUGAGCAUGAAAUUAAGCUCGUUAAAUAAUUAAUGAGUUGACUCGAUAUAUAUAUUUAUAUAAUCUAUUUUUUAUGAUACAUGUAUUACUUUUAUAUUUAUUGUUAUUAUAUAUAUAAAAAAAAUUAUAUUUAUAUGUAUAAACAAUAUUUCUUUAAAAAUAAUUAAUUAUUUGAGUUAAUGAACCAAUUCAAUUUGAGUCAAACAGUACACGAACUUUAACCGAACCGAAUUUGAGCUAAAAAAAUAACUCGUAUCGAACUUGAGUCGAGUUUCAAGCUGAACUCUAGUUAGACUCUGUUCAGCUUAUUUCCAACCCUACCUGAGAGUGACACUUGUUGGGAGGGGUAGUCACGUAUCCCGAAAGGUGAGGAGUACUCUUGGUACUGCAAAAAAUAGUAGCUACUUAGUGAGAACACUUUUUUAUUGUAAGAGAUUAGAAAGAUGAAUCUUGACAAUUGAAUCCUAUUUGAAUCAUUAAAAUUAGAAGUUAAUUGCAUUCCACUUCUUUUUUAAGUGGUUAUGUAUGAUUAAGUAACUUAAUCUUGGUUAUGCCAAUAUGGUCAAGAUUGAUUGUUAUCACAUUCUUAAAAAGCAAAGUGUUCUCUAACUACUAAAUGACAUUUCACUUGAAGAUGAAUGAGUGAAUUGAGCUAUUAUAUGUGUAUUCAGAUUAUUAAAUGUAAUUUGAGUUGAAGAUUUUCUGAUAACUCUUGAGUUUGCUUGAUAAUUGAUGCAAUUCAGCUCACUUUGUCAUAUUCAUACCACAGAUUAUUUGGCCUUCAAUUUUGACUCACCUUCUAUGAUCCUUCAGUCAUAAAUAGGAGUAAAAAAAUGAAAUGAGCAUUAGAAGCUUCAUUCUCAUCUUCAGCAGAUACAUUAUAUGUGCUUAUACUGUUGGAAUUUAUUUGCUUAAUCUUUGAUUUUCAAUAACAAUUCUUCAUGCAGGAAGUGGAAUUUCAUGGCUGCAAAACAGUUCUAGUGCUACCAGCAUUGAGUACAGGAGGUGUCCUCUAUAUUCCAAGUUUCCUACACAACCUGCUGACGUUGCCUCGGUCGAAGACCUUUUUGAAUUUAUUUGCUCAGGACCUUUGCUCGACAAAAUAGGCGUGACGCAAGAGAAGGUGGCUGACUCCAUAGAUAAGUGGUUAUCAUAUGGUCGGUAUAUAUGCCAGUUGUUUCAACUUAAUGAGCUGUACCUAACUGAGCCUCAAAAAGCUCGAGUUUAUCACUACUAUAUACCAGUCUUUAUAUGGUGUGAAGAUCAGAUUGUUCAGCAUCAGUCCAAGUUCAACGAAGAAGACGAAAUACCUCCUUUAGUUGUAUAUUUUCGGAUUCCUCCCUUCCAUGAUUCUCUAUCUCCUAUAGUUUGUUUUCUGCGUGUAUUUAUGUAAUGCAGUUUAAUAUGAAGGGUGCAUAAGCUAUAAGCGCGACCAAAAUUAUUCGGAUUUUUUAAUUGUUGAAGGGAUUCAUAAAUAUCUUUUCACUUUUAUGACUCAGAUUGGAUUUAGUGCUCCUCAAGGAUGUGGAAAGACAACCCUUGUUUUUGCUCUUGACUAUCUUUUCCAAAGAACUGGCAGGUAGGCCCUGAAUUUUGACGCAACGCUACAAGAUAGAAUAAUAUAUCAUUUUCCUAAAUUAAAACAUCAGCUCAACUCCUCCCCAAUAUUAGAUAAUGGGGUAAUGAGUUAUCAAAUAUAAAAUUUAUAAUUUAUUUUAUUUGAAAUUAAGUUAAAAUUAAAAUUGUUGAAUUUUUUUUUUUGCCUAUUUUAUAAUCGUAAUAUGGGAAUAUACAUACAAAAUCCAUAGUAGGACACCUCUUAUCUUAAUUUGUCGGCUCUGGAUUUUGUAAAUUAAAUUAAAAGUAAUGAUUUGAAGUUAAGGACAAACAUAAAUUUGUUUUAUUCUUUCAUCUUUUUUAUGGCCAUCCUCUUCCAAGUUCCAAUCUUUUGUGUACUCUGAUUUCAACUUAAGCUUUUUUGCAUUGAUACCCACAAGUAGAGAGAGAAAACUACACGUAAAAAUGGCGACUUUGAAUGUUUUCUCUCAGACAUGCCAACCUUGUUGUACAAUAAUUUCACCUUUCGUGCCUUGUUGUAACACUAACAACUAUGGCUAUUAUGCCCAUAAUAAUAGUAAUAAUAAUUCUAACAAUUGUAAAUUUCAGUUGACUACCCACUU